CCUACGGGAGGCUGCAGUGGGGAAUAUUGGGCAAUGGGCGCAAGCCUGACCCAGCAACGCCGCGUGAAGGAAGAAGGCUUUCGGGUUGUAAACUUCUUUUAAGAGGGAAGAGCAGAAGACGGUACCUCUUGAAUAAGCCACGGCUAACUACGUGCCAGCAGCCGCGGUAAUACGUAGGUGGCAAGCGUUGUCCGGAUUUACUGGGGGUAAAGGGCGUGCAGCCGGGAAGACAAGUCAGAUGUGAAAUCCCGCGGCUCAACCGCGGAACUGCAUUUGAAACUGUUUUUCUUGAGUACCGGAGAGGUCAUCGGAAUUCCUUGUGUAGCGGUGAAAUGCGUAGAGAUAAGGAAGAACACCAGUGGCGAAGGCGGAUGACUGGACGGCAACUGACGGUGGGGCGCGAAAGCGUGGGGAGCAAACAGGAUUAGAUACCCGUGUAGUC
rnacentral:rRNA from 1 species